rnacentral:rRNA from 1 species
UACGAAGGGGGCUAGCGUUGUUCGGAAUUACUGGGCGUAAAGCGCACGUAGGCGGGUAUUUAAGUCAGGGGUGAAAUCCCAGAGCUCAACUCUGGAACUGCCUUUGAUACUGGGUACCUAGAGUAUGGAAGAGGUAAGUGGAAUUCCGAGUGUAGAGGUGAAAUUCGUAGAUAUUCGGAGGAACACCAGUGGCGAAGGCGGCUUACUGGUCCAUUACUGACGCUGAGGUGCGAAAGCGUGGGGAGCAAAC